UUGACAAUAUUUGAGUUUCAUAGUUCACAGGACACUAAAUUAAUAAGCAAAGCACAACCCUCAACAAUUACCCCACACACCCUAAUGAGAUGAAGACUGCUGAACGUUUCUUCUUGUCUCAGUAUAUUUAACCGGUAACAAACCACUCAAAGCCCACUGAACCAUUAUCUCGUAAAGUUAAAGACUAAUGAGCGCUGAGCUGUGAGAUUUCUCUUUCAGAGUGAGUUGGAAUGUGUACAGAAUGGGAAUCCUGUUCCUUGUCAUUUAAGUUAGUUAUUCUUUAAUACAAGUUUAGAUGUGAAGUUUGCGCACCCAUCCCUGGGGAAGAGGAAGACGUGGCUAAGGAGGUUGUACUGCAGACCCUACAUAGACCUACAGAAGUCAUGUAACCCCACAGCUUUCAACUUCUCUAGCCAAAGACUGGGAAUAUCUCUGCAGAGAUGUUAGUUGUAUCUAACAGGUACCUUAUAUGCAAAUGCAGUUAGCACUUUCAUUGCAUUUCAGCAAAAUGUAUGUUGCUGUUAAAAACAGAUUAUUGAUACUGAGAAGCCAUGCAGUCCAUGAUGUUUAGACUAUGUGCUAUUUUACAGCUAUUUACAGGGAAAAAAAGUAAAUCUGGUUGUUUAAUAUUAAAAAUAUGGGCAGAACUCCUUGAAGAAGAUGUUUAUGGCACACAAAAAUAAACAGAUAUUAUACCACAUAGAAAACACUCGUAGUCACUUCUAGCUAACACGAAAAUGUUUGCUUUUUAGAAGCAAAACCAAGAAAGGGCAUGGAAAGAGAGAAGGGGUCUGAAAACAAACCAGGCUGAAUGAGGGCAGAAGCUGCAACUGGUAAUGAAGGACCUCUGUGGCUGAAACUCUGCAACCCUGAGCAGUUCAGAGGCAGCACAAUGAACACACUGUUCUGUGAAAUCUGGCAUCAGAACAGCUUCAUUGUUGAGACUUAUCCUUCCUGCAAUUGUUUUUCCAUGGAUUCCUGUUCAGGGCAGGAGAGAAACCCAGCCAGCCUUCUGCUUUUCCCUCUGUAUCCUAGUUAUCCAAGCAAGGCAGUGGCCCUGUUUGCUACUAGAUCAUCCCACCUCCAGCUUGUAAGAGACCCCACAGGGCGAUGCCAUGGAGGUGGGAACACAGGCUUGUGUUCCUGAUCUCCAUCAGUUUGGGAUCAGUUAUGCUCAUCUCCGCACAGCAUGGCAAUGUAUUUUCCGAUGAGAGACAGGAACAAAGUCAACUAAAUCCUUGUAAAAGCAACGAAGGACCUGCUGUCCGAAGGUACCAGCCUGGUGAUUGAUGGUGGAGCAGCAGUGGAUUUUCUUUAGCUGUUGUUCUGGGACACAGACCUGUGUAAUUUACUUUAGGUUUGUGAAGUUAUGACUCAGUAUUUAGGACUCCAAGGAAAGGCUUGUAAGUUUAAAUAGGCCUUAGCUCUGCAAUACUGUUCAGUGUCAGGAAGCAAGCA